GAAUCAUAAAGAAAUAAUAUAGAAAUUCAAAAACAUACUAAAAUAAAACUUUAAUAAAAUAUUAAAAUAAAAACUUUAAUUAAAUCCUAGUCAAAAUUUAAUCAAAUUCUAAUCAAAUCUUAGUCAAAUCCUAACCAAAUCCUAACCAAACCAUAGUCAAAUUCUAAAUAAAUCCUAAAUAAAUCCUAACCCAAUUCUAAUAAAAUCUUAAAAAAAUCUUAACCAAAUCCUAGUCAAAUCCUAACCGAAUCCUAACCAAAUCCUAAACAAAACCUAAACAAAUCUUAACCUAACCCUAAUCGAUUCCUAAACAUAUCAUAACUAAAUCCUAAAUAAUCCCAGAUAAUUCCUAUAGCAGAUUUAAAUCUCAAUAACUAAUGAAUGAACUAUUGAUUUUAACUCAAAUUUUUUACACUUCUUAAAAAUGAAAUUGACAACAAGUAAAAAAAUUUACAAGAAGAUUAAAUUCACCAAAAAGAAGAUCAACCAUAAUAUUUGCAUGGAUGUUGGCCGGCCUCCU
rnacentral:lncRNA from 1 species